UACGUAGGCAGCGAGCGUUGUUCGGAAUUACUGGGCGUAAAGAGUGUGUAGGUGGUGAUCUAAGUCUGUCGUGAAAUCUCCCGGCUUAACUGGGAGGGUGCGGCGGAAACUGGAUCGCUAGAGUAUGGGAGAGGUAAGCGGAAUUCCUGGUGUAGCGGUGAAAUGCGUAGAUAUCAGGAGGAACACCUGUGGUGUAGACAGCUUACUGGACCAUUACUGACACUGAGACACGAAAGCGUGGGUAGCAAACAGG
rnacentral:rRNA from 1 species